rnacentral:rRNA from 1 species
UACCAGCACCCCGAGUGGUCGGGACGAUUAUUGGGUCUAAAGCAUCCGUAGCUUGUCCUGCAAGUCUUCCGUUAAAUCCACCUGCUCAACAGAUGGGCCGCGGGGGAUACUACAGGGCUAGGAGGCGGGAGAGGCAAACGGUACUCAGUGGGUAGGGGUAAAAUCCACUGAUCCACUGAAGACCACCAGUGGCGAAGGCGGUUUGCCAGAACGCGCUCGACGGUGAGGGAUGAAAGCUGGGGGAGCAAACCGG